rnacentral:misc_RNA from 1 species
GGUUUCCGAUUAUUCCUCCUUCUCCUCACCACCUCUGUUAUUCGUAGGAAUCUUUGACCCUCUCCUUCGUCUUUCACCGCCAUGUAUACGUCUUAGGAAUGGCUUGCAGGUUUUCUUGGACUGGGAGAUGAAGAAUGAUCCCCUAGGUGUUUUUUUUAACGAAAUUUUUUUAAGGCUAUGGAUCUGAAAGAAUUUGAUAAAUGAAAUUCAAGACAGAUGGUGUAGAUUGUUGCUGGAUCUUGCAAUGGGGUGGAACUUGGAAGAACUGUUUUUCGGCCUAGGAUUUUUUUGAAUGACUUGGGCUUUUGGGCUUUUUCUGGUUUUGGACAAGUUUUAAGCUUGUAGAUAGAAUUUCCUUUGUAUUUGGAUAUGGGUUCAAGCUUUGUUGUGUAAUAUGCUUAGGCCUUUUAUGGACUUUUUAAAUUGAAAUCUUUUUUUUUUUCAAAAAUAAAGAUUUCAAUUUAAAAAGUCC